rnacentral:rRNA from 1 species
AUUGAACGCUGGCGGCAGGCCUAACACAUGCAAGUCCAGCGGAGCGGCGGACGGGUGAGUAAUGCCUAGGAAUCUGCCUGGUAGUGGGGGAUAACGUCCGGAAACGGGCGCUAAUACCGCAUACUAUCAGAUGAGCCUAGGUCGGAUUAGCUAGUUGGUGGGGUAAAGGCCUACCAAGGAGACGAUCCGUAACUGGUCGGAGAGGUUGAUCAGUCACACAGGAACUGCGAGACGGUCCAGGCGCCUACGGCGGGCAGCAGGGGGGAAGUUUGGACAAUGGGCGAAAGCCUGAUCCAGCCAUGCCGCGUGUGUGAUUAAGGUGUUCGGAUUGUGAAGCACUUUGAGUUGGAGGACGUUACCAACAGAAUAUGCACCGGCUAACUUCGUGCCAGCCGCCGCGGUGAUAC